rnacentral:tRNA from 1 species
UCCGCAGUGGCUCAGUGGUAAAGCAUCUGCCUGCAAUGCAGGAGAUACAGGAGACUCGGGUUCAAUCCCUGGGUCGGGAA